GACGAACGCUGGCGGCGUGCUUAACACAUGCAAGUCGAACGGAAAGGCCCUGCUUGCAGGGUACUCGAGUGGCGAACGGGUGAGUAACACGUGGGUGAUCUGCCCUGCACUUCGGGAUAAGCCUGGGAAACUGGGUCUAAUACCGGAUAGGAGCCAUUUUUAGUGUGAUGGUUGGAAAGUUUUUUCGGUGUAGGAUGAGCUCGCGGCCUAUCAGCUUGUUGGUGGGGUAAUGGCCUACCAAGGCGGCGACGGGUAGCCGGCCUGAGAGGGUGGACGGCCACAUUGGGACUGAGAUACGGCCCAGAAUCCUACGGGAGGCAGCAGUGGGGAAUAUUGCACAAUGGGCGCAAGCCUGAUGCAGCGACGCCGCGUGGGGGAGGACGGCCUUCGGGUUGUAAACUCCUUUCGCUAGGGACGAAGCUUUUUGUGACGGUACCUAGAUAAGAAGCACCGGCUAACUACGUG
rnacentral:rRNA from 1 species